rnacentral:rRNA from 1 species
UACGUAGGGUGCGAGCGUUAAUCGGAAUUACUGGGCGUAAAGCGUGCGCAGGCGGUUUUGCAAGCCGGAUGUGAAAUCCCCGGGCUCAACCCGGGAAUGGCAUUCGGGACUGCAAGGCUGGAGUGCGGCAGAGGAGACUGGAAUUCCUGGUGUAGCAGUGAAAUGCGUAGAUAUCAGGAGGAAUACCAGUGGCGAAGGCGGCUCGCUGGGCCCUACCUGACGCUGAGGCGCGAAAGCGUGGGGAGCGAACCGG